UCGAAAACAUAUGUCACUCAUUUACCACCAGAAUUACUGUGAGUGGAAUUAUUCUAAUUGCAUCAUUUGAUUUAAAGUAACCAAUCAUUUUGUUAAUUACACAAGUUCAGGGUCAUGAUCACGCGUUAUUGUGCAUGAUAUUCAUUUACCUUUAAAAGAAACCGGGGAACCCUGUAAGUCAGACUUGCAUUAGAUUCCAGAGAUCGAGGGUACAUCUGAGUUCCCAGACAGCCGAGAGGCUGGAUAGGGUGGAGAAGUGGUUUUAGCUAUAUAGUAUUGUAAUUUGUGCUAUGCUUGUAUACCUGUAUUCAGUUAUAUGCUAUAUAAAAUGUAGAAGCGAACUAUGCAUUAUUAUUCCUGGUAAGACAAACGUCUUAAGAAACUGGAAGAAGUAAAUACACAACGUGAAGCAGAAGUAAAGACAGCUUGAGACAAAUUCUAGACGAUCACAAGGCUACAGAAAUAUGUAGUAAGAAAAGAUGCAUGGGUUCUACGUAGGAUGUGGCGACUGGUUUGACAACGUCCGCUCUCCACAUCAGACAAAAGACCUAUGGUUGCCGUAACGCAGUUUCGACCUUUGGGGUAAGAAGUCACUUUAGAAGAAGAAUACAUAUUUGAAGACGUUAAGAAGAAAACCUGUACAAUCCAGCAACAGAAAAAUUCUGGUGGAAAAAAUCUGGUGGAGAUAUUCGAAAAAUUGGGUAAAUACAUUUUGUUUGGUAAAUUAAAUGUGUUAAAUUUGUUUAAAGACCAAAUAAUAUUACUUUAAAGUUAAAAUCUGAUUAGAAACUAAGUAGUUAAAAUUUAACUGUAUAGAGAAUAAAUUAGAGUCAUUCAUAAGUUGAGAUUGAUAGGUUUAUUAAACAAUAUAAUAUCAUGAGUUAGGUAUGUAUAUUGCCAGGUUAACAUGACCUGUAGUAAAUUUGAGUAAUAAAAUUUAAGUUAAAGUGAGGAUCUCUAGGGCGUAGGAUUUAAAAGAAAAUUUGUUUUGAUAUACCUAAGGAAUAAUAAGGAAACGGAAUAGGGAAUAAAGAGAAAAAAAGAAAGUUUCAACUUGAUACUAUGGUAGCUGAAACAGACCAAUACACAUCCAAGAAGAAGAAAUGGUUUACCAGUUUACCAAAUUGACAUUUCCUGAGACAUAAUUUAAUGUGAAACCUGAACUUUAUAAAUAUUACGUGAUGUGUUAUAGUGUUUUGCAAUUAGGACACUUGAAGAUUUUAAAAAAGACAAUUUGUGUUUUCUAUGUUUAGGCUUAGUGGAUUUUCAUAGGAUUUUACAGUGAUGAACUUUUUGGAGAACUUUUGCAUGCAACUUUUGACUUUUGAUUUUUGAUUAUUUGUGUUUUUAUUUCAUAGUUUUGUUAUAUAGUAUAGUAUCAUUGAUAUUUGCCUGUUGCAUGAAUAAUUAUAGGGUUUAGCACAUGGAAGUUUUUAAGAGUCUCCUACCUGUUCAUUUAGCAUUAAUCUUGCAAGUGGGGGAGGUGAUAUAUGUUGAUUUUCUAGAUUUCUGCUACAUUUAUGAAUAGUUAUAUAAUUCUACAGAUGUUGGUAUGGUUAUUGUAAAGGAUUCAAGGGAUCUUUACCCAAUACCGAGCAAAAAGUCUUAAAGGAAGGGACGAAUGUAAUAAUAUUGCUAGAAUUUUUGCUCUUGAAAUAAGAUGCCUUUAUAUUUCAUUAAUUAAUAUCUUUGGCAAGUUAGUAAUUUCAAACAUAUUCACAUAUAUAGUGUGCACUAAAUCAACUUAGUCUGUAAUUGACAGUUGACACAUAAAAAAGAGUUAUUUAUCGAAAACAUAUGUCACUCAUUUACCACCAGAAUUACUGUGAGUGGAAUUAUUCUAAUUGCAUCAUUUGAUUUAAAGUAACCAAUCAUUUUGUUAAUUACACAAGUUCAGGGUCAUGAUCACGCGUUAUUGUGCAUGAUAUUCAUUUACCUUUAAAAGAAACCGGGGAACCCUGUAAGUCAGACUUGCAUUAGAUUCCAGAGAUCGAGGGUACAUCUGAGUUCCUAGACAGCCGAGAGGCUGGAUAGGGUGGAGAAGUGGUUUUAGCUAUAUAGUAUUGUAAUUUGUGCUAUGCUUGUAUACCUGUAUUCAGUUAUAUGCUAUAUAAAAUGUAGAAGCGAA